UACGUAGGGGGCUAGCGUUGUCCGGAAUCAUUGGGAGUAAAGAGCGUGUAGGCGGCCCGGUAAGUCCGCUGUGAAAGUCGGGGGCUCAACCCUCGAAUGCCGGUGGAUACUGUCGGGCUAGAGUGCGGAAGAGGCGAGUGGAAUUCCUGGUGUAGCGGUGAAAUGCGCAGAUAUCAGGAGGAACACCAAUUGCGAAGGCAGCUCGCUGGGACGUAACUGACGCUGAGACGCGAAAGCGUGGGGAGCAAACAGG
rnacentral:rRNA from 1 species